rnacentral:rRNA from 1 species
AAAUUGAAGAGUUUGAUCAUGGCUCAGAUUGAACGCUGGCGGCAGGCCUAACACAUGCAAGUCGAACGGUAACAGGAAGCAGCUUGCUGCUUUGCUGACGAGUGGCGGACGGGUGAGUAAUGUCUGGGAAACUGCCUGAUGGAGGGGGAUAACUACUGGAAACGGUAGCUAAUACCGCAUAACGUCGCAAGACCAAAGAGGGGGACCUUCGGGCCUCUUGCCAUCGGAUGUGCCCAGAUGGGAUUAGCUAGUAGGUGGGGUAAAGGCUCACCUAGGCGACGAUCCCUAGCUGGUCUGAGAGGAUGACCAGCCACACUGGAACUGAGACACGGUCCAGACUCCUACGGGAGGC